UACGUAGGGGGCGAGCGUUGUCCGGAUUUAUUGGGCGUAAAGAGCGUGUAGGCGGCCAGGUAGGUCUGCUGUGAAAACUCGAGGCUCAACCUCGAGACGUCGGCGGAAACCAUCUGGCUAGAGUCCGGAAGAGGAGAGUGGAAUUCCUGGUGUAGCGGUGAAAUGCGCAGAUAUCAGGAGGAACACCGGUGGCGAAGGCGGGUCUCUGGGCCGAUACUGACGCUGGAGGAGCGAAAGCGUGGGGAGCGAACAGG
rnacentral:rRNA from 1 species